UACAAACACUCCUAAGUGCAGCGUUCGUGUGCUCACCCCAUUUUAUCCAGUGUCAAACAGAAAAACCACUGCAGUAUGUGCCCAAUACGCUAUCGGUAGCAUGUAGAAGGAAGACAGCGAACACUGGCUCGAUUUGUUCAAGUUCAAAAGUUUAAGCACAAUUUCCCAGUCUCAGCUGGGAUUCCGGUUCAGUUCGACAAAGAUUCUGUCGCACACGUGAAAGCCCAAAAUGUUGGAAGUGGCCAGCCGUUCAGUUCGAUCUUUGGUCGAUCAGCUUACUAUUUUAGUGAAACUUCCGGCCGCCACAGUCUACAUUAUCACCAAAGGAGUGUUCCUAAUAGUCAACACGAUAACAAGGUUUGGGCGAAUGAUAAGCCAAUGAUGUACCAUGACAUGACUGAAAUUCCGGCAGAAGAAGUGCAGUGGUCGAAUCACUAUGCACUUCGUAUUAAAACAUAAUAAGUGAUAUACUUGUAGUUUAUGCUAGUUUGUAUUGCUUCCUUACAAUAUGUGCCAGAGCUUAUUUUAUUGUAAAACGUUAUUUGUGAAAAAUAUUAAAAUGUUAUAACACAAA